AUAUAUGUUUGCAUAGCAUGUUAUAUAGCUUGGUUCUUAGCAAAAAUGGCAUAUAUAUGCAUGCCUCUCCCCCUUGUGGUAUUGAGGGUAAUCAAAUACUAUCGAUCAGAUCAUCACACUCUUCUUUGUAUAGAUUAUUGAGUAGAACAUCAUCUAUACCACUCAUUAAUAUUAGUUUAUGUAGCUAUAUAUAGUUAAUUAAUUAGGAGACUCUAGCUAUAUACAUGAUAUGUUUCUUGAAUUUGGUUUGUCUUGUUCAUGCAGCUUCUAAUUGAUGGUAACUUAUUAUUACAAUAACAUAAUUGCUGGUCCCUUUUGUGUGUUUAUAAUUUGUUUUUGUUUGCAUAUUAUAAUGUGGUACUGACAGCUUAAAACAAUGGCCAUGAGUACUUACCCCCAAAAAAAUCAGAGCUCUAUCUCGCCGUUCUCCUAACUCCGCUACUCUCUCCAUUUCGCUGUCAUCUCUUGGUUUUCCGAGGUACUCUUGCUCGUCUUUGGUGUGCGUGGCGUCGUCUCCGGUGGUGGCUGUUCUCUCUUCUUGUUAAAGUUCACCUCCGACAAGCCAUAUACUACUCAAGAAAUUGACGAAGUUAGAGAAGAAUGGGCAAUGUUAUUUUUACAUUUGGUUAGAGCAAAAUGAAUGAUGUUAUAGCUAGCUAAUUACAAUACAUGUUUAGAAAUUUUAAAUUUAUUUCGUAAAAUUUUUUUGCCAUUUUUUUAGUAUUUUCUUUUCAAAUUUCUUUUGAUACAUAUUCGACACUCAAAUGGAUAUAUAUAUUUUUAAAUCAAAAUUAAAAUUGUAGCUGUA